GCCUACCAAGGCGACGACGGGUAGCCGGCCUGAGAGGGCGACCGGCCACACUGGGACUGAGACACGGCCCAGACUCCUACGGGAGGCAGCAGUGGGGAAUCUUGCACAAUGGGCGGAAGCCUGAUGCAGCGACGCCGCGUGAGGGAUGACGGCCUUCGGGUUGUAAACCUCUUUCAGCAGGGACGAAGCGAGAGUGACGGUACCUGCAGAAGAAGCGCCGGCCAACUACGUGCCAGCAGCCGCGGUAAGACGUAGGGCGCAAGCGUUGUCCGGAUUUAUUGGGCGUAAAGAGCUCGUAGGCGGCUUGUUGCGUCGGCUGUGAAAACCCGUGGCUUAACUGCGGGCUUGCAGCUGAUACGGGCGGGCUGGAGUUCGGUAGGGGAGACUGGAAUUCCUGGUGUAGCGGUGAAAUGCGCAGAUAUCAGGAGGAACACCGGUGGCGAAGGCGGGUCUCUGGGCCGAUACUGACGCUGAGGAGCGAAAGCGUGGGGAGCGAACAGGAUUAGAUACCCUGGUAGUCCACGCUGUAAACGUUGGGCGCUAGGUGUGGGGGGCCUCUCCGGUUCUCUGUGCCGCAGCU
rnacentral:rRNA from 1 species